UGCUCAACAAGUCUCUCUCUCUCUCUCUCUCUCUCUCUCUCUCUCAUAGCAAUAUUUAUGAUGUAUCCUACCUAGCUCUGUUACGAAGCUACAUUCAAAACCACCCAUUUUCUUCUUCUGUUUCUUGGAAGUAAGAUAGACACGUAGCUUAAAUCCAUUAACAAACAGAGCAAUCAAAUUUCAAUGAUUGUUUUUUCUUCUUCUGAGUCGGAGCAACAAAGGCAGAGCUCCGAAACCCAAAACCCAAACAAACCAGAGCAAGAAAUGAUUGUUUCACGAGCACAUCCACAAGAAGACCGGAACAUCAACCCCCAAAAGCGUCUCUGUGACUAUUGUUCAGACGCCACAGCUCUUCUCUACUGCCGAGCGGACUCAGCCAAGCUCUGCUUCCUCUGCGACCGGGAGAUCCACUCCGGCAACCAGCUCUUCUGCAAGCACACUCGCUCACCGCUCUGUGACGCCUGUGACUCCUCCCCUGCCUCAGUUUUCUGCUCCACCGAGAGAUCUGUUCUGUGCCAGAACUGUGACUGGGAGCGCCACAAGCUCUCACUUUCUCCGCUGCACAACCGGAGACCGCUCGAGGGGUUCACUGGGUGUCCCUCUGUGAGUGAAUUGCAGGCUAUUGUUGGAUUUGAGGACGUGGGUCACAAAGCUCUGUUUUUAAGCGACGAGAGUGGCGGCGGCGGCGGCGGCGGCGGUGAUGGGAUUGAUGAGUUCUCGGAUUUGUUCGUUUGGGAUCCUCCUUUUGUUGUUGGUCUUGAUGAUUUGAUUGGUUCAACGAAUUCGUCGCAUGAUUUUCAGGCUAUGGCAGUUCCUCCUAUGCUUAAGAAUCGUAAUGCUGCUUGUGGGCAAUACAAGGAAGAAAUACGUAGUCAGCUUCGUCACCUGAUGAAGUUGGAACCAAACUUGAAUUGUGAAAUUGUGGAUUCUGAACCUCUCGCCAGUUUCCAAUCUUUGGUGCCUCAACAAAACGUGCAGCCAGGACAUACGAAUAUAGGUUGUUUUGCAGAUGAUGCAGAGCCAAUUGCAUUUCCUGCUUUUGAGGAAAAUGCAGUUCAGUGGUGUACUGAUGGUGAUGAGGCUGCAAAUCAACUUUGUCUUCCUAAUUCAUUAAAAAGAAGGUACCUUGAGGAAAAUCCUGUUGUUCCUGACAAACGUUCGGAUAUUGGUGGCUGUACUGUCGGUAGUGGCAGUGAUGGAAUCGAAGUGCAAUCACUAUAUGAUCCCAUUAAAUAUGAAGCCUCAUCAGCUCUUCAAAUGGUUGCUCCACAUGAGUUAAACAGCCACCAGAGGGACUCUGCAAUCUCACGGUACAAGGAGAAGAAGAAGGCAAGGAGGUAUCAUCACCACCCUUAAUUUGCCUACAAAUAUUAUGACUCAAAUAUUUGACUUCUCAAAUGUUUUCAAACGCAAAGGGUAUGAUAAGCAAAUUAGGUAUGAAUCGCGGAAGGUUCGGGCAGAGAGCAGGACAAGAAUCAAGGGACGUUUUGCUAAGAUCCUUCACUGAAAUACUGUUUUUGUGGUAGGACUUACAAGUAUAGAAGAUUGAGGGAAUCUCAUAGCAAGGCUUACAUGUCUUUUCUUGAGAUAUAGGUGCAGUAGACAACGAGGAGCUCUAUCUAAGAUUAGAUUAUUACCCCCGAGAUCUACAAACGAUCUUUACCCUUUUGAAGCUGGAAGAAUUUUUGACGACUUCAGUCAGCCUGCUAGUUGCCAGUUGCACUCAACGACACUUUUUGUAAUAUUUAAACCGUAUUAGGUUUGAUGUGUAAAAUAACUCUUUAUUUAUAUAAAGAUUUAUGUUUAGUUAA